rnacentral:rRNA from 1 species
AGUAACGGCGAGUGAACAGGGAGAAGCCCAAAUUUGUAAUCUGGCACUUUUUACAAGUGUCCGAGUUGUAAUUUGUAGAACUGUUAUCCGUGCUGGACCAUGUACAAGUCUGUUGAAAAGCAGCAUCGUUGAAGGUGAAAAUCCUGUAAAUGAUAUGGACUACCAGUACUUUUGUGAUACGGUUUCUAAGAGUCGAGUUGUUUGGGAAUGCAGCUCAAAGUGGGUGGUAAAUUCCAUCUAAGGCUAAAUAUAAGUGAGAGACCGAUAGCAAACAAGUACCGUGAGGGAAAGAUGAAAAGAACUUUGAAAAUAGAGUUAACAGUACGUGAAAUUGCUGAAAGGGAAACGUUUGAAGUUAGUUUUGUAUUCGUUGGAUCAGCUUCGCAAGGAGUGUAUUCUGAUGAUAAGCAAGUCAACAUCAGUCUAUGAGUGUUGGAGAAGGGUUUUGAGAAUGUAGCAAUUUAAUUGUGUUAUAGCUUGAGACUUGGAUACGAUGCUUUGGAUUGAGGAACGCGUAGUAAGCUUUGAGCG